GUUAGCAUAAAUUUUAGAGCAAAUUUGGAUGCUCAGAAUGCAGGAAAUGGCAUUUCCGUGUUUCAAAUUUCAAAAAUUUUCUGGGGGAGUACACCCCCACACACGUGACAUUGGUAUCCUCCUCUAAUAAGUAAUGAUAAAUUACGGUUAAUAUUUUUUUUAACUUUUUGUGGGGUUUUUCCUUCUUUUAUUUCAAAUACAAGUAUAGUGAGUAUACAUUUUGGAGCGCAGUUGGAUGCUCAGAAUGCAGGAAAUGGCAUUUCCGUGCUUCAAAUUUCAAAAAUUUUCUGGGGGAGUACCCCCCCCCCCCAUUCAUGCGUGCAUGGUAUGUUCGGCGUACACGUGGCCUUCAGCCAUUGCUAUCUCCCUGUAAUAUAUUAUCUCACUGAAAGGUAGGCUCAGAUUCCAGCCGUUGUGUUCUCGCCAAGUGGGCGAGUGGCGAGAACACAACGGCUGGAAUCUGAGCCUAACUGAAAGGUCCCUUUUCAAAAAAUGCCCCCCCACGGAUAAAUCCUUAAAAAAGGCCCUGCCACCCACGAACUGCGAUCAUUCCUACAUUUAUGCAAAAAUGAGUAUUACAUAUUCUAAACAAAGAGCUUUUAAAAGACACAUAUGGGAUUUCUCCAAUAUUAAUAUGACAAUGCUAAAUGAAGAUCUUUUGAAUAUCAAUUGGGAAGAUUGUACUAGAGAUUCUAUUCAGAUUGAUGAUGUUUAUGGAAAUUGUUUCGGUAUUUUCGACUUAUAAUUGAUAAAUACAUUCCAAACAAAACAG